rnacentral:rRNA from 1 species
UACAGAGGUCUCAAGCGUUGUUCGGAUUCAUUGGGCGUAAAGGGUGUGUAGGCGGCGCGCUAAGUCGGGUGUGAAAUUUCGGAGCUUAACUCCGAAACUGCAUUCGAUACUGGCGUGCUUGAGGACUGGAUAGGAGACUGGAAUACUUGGUGUAGCAGUGAAAUGCGUAGAUAUCAAGUGGAACACCAGUGGCGAAGGCGAGUCUCUGGACAUUUCCUGACGCUGAGGCACGAAAGCUAGGGGAGCACACAGG